rnacentral:rRNA from 1 species
AUUGAACGCUGGCGGCAUGCUUUACACAUGCAAGUCGAACGGUAACAGGCCGCAAGGUGCUGACGAGUGGCGAACGGGUGAGUAAUGCAUCGGAACGUGCCCAGUCGUUGUGGAUAACUACUCGAAAGAGUAGCUAAUACCUCAUACGAUCUAUGGAUGAAAGCGGGGGACCGUAAGGCCUCGCGCGAUUGGAGCUGCCGAUGUUAGAUUAGGUAGUUGGUGGGGUAAAGGCUCACAAAGCCAACGAUCUUUAGCUGGUCUGAGAGGACGACCAGCCACACUGGGACUGAGACACGGCCCAGACUCCUACGGGAGGCAGCAGUGGGGAAUUUUGGACAAUGGGCGCAAGCCUGAUCCAGCAAUGCCGCGUGCAGGAAGAAGGCCUUCGGGUUGUAAACUGCUUUUGUAAGGAACGAAACGGCUCUGGUUAAUACCCGGGGCUAAUGACGGUACCGUAAGAAUAAGCACCGGCUAACUACGUG